rfam:Salmo salar isolate Sally breed double haploid chromosome ssa16, whole genome shotgun sequence.
UGCAUUCACUACUGUAAGUCGCUCUGGAUAAGGGCGUUUGUUAAAUGACUAAAA